rnacentral:antisense_RNA from 1 species
CUUGUCGAUGGCGUCGAUGUUUGAAUGGAGGAGCCACAGCUCCUCCGUGUUGUCCUGCCGGGAGGACAGGAUCAAGUGGUGGCCCGUCAGGCACAGGGUGCCCUCGACAGCCGGGUAGAAAGGCCGGUGCAGCACCACAUUGUCCACCCGCGGGGUCUUAAUCAGCUCCGCAAACUCCAUGCUCCCCCCGCGGCCGGAGCCAGGGAACCGAGCCCGGGAGGUGCGAGGCGGUUACCCCGCCGCAGGGAGAGUAGCGGAAACACCCGGCGCGGGGCUGGCCCGGGGGGCGGGGGCGGGCCGGGCGGUGAGGCUGGGCCCGCCCCAGGCUGGGUGGGCGCGGCGAGGCCUACAGCCGCCGGCACCGGCCGCGGGGAGACAGGGGCUGGGGCUGGGGCUGGGCUAGGCCCAAGCGCCUCUCCCGCACCUCCCGGUUCCGCAGGCCCAGGACUGGGCCACAGAGAACCCCUCUCCACAGGCCCAAGGACCGCCGCUGCCGCUGGGCUCCGGGUCCCGCGUGGGCAAGCGGAGGGCAGUAGGAGGAGGCCACUUCAGGACCCGCUUCCACGCCCUGUUCGCUAGGGACUCCUGGCGGAAGUGGCUACUCACUGCUGGAGCCCACAGCAACUCCGGGCGGAAGCAGCAGGUCUCGAAACUCGGAAGACGCGGAAGUCGCAGCCGGAAGUUGGUCCUCGCUAGGUCCUCUGGAAAUGCCUCCGGAAACACAGCCAGACCAGAAGAUUUGUGUUCCUACGAGAAAAAAAGCUUGUCUUUGCCUUCACGCCCCCCCGCUGCCCUUCUUACCCACCUACAAAUAUUCCUUAUCAGAAGAGGCCCGGGAAGAGGGGAUGACGGGAGGAGGUCCUUGUCUUGCCUUCCUCCGCUUGAGUAGUAUCCCCUCCAGAAGCUCUUCAGAGCGUGGGGCUUCUGUAAAUUUUGAUAAUUGUUAUGCAUUAGCCUGAAGAGAUGGCAAUUAUGGGAUGGAGGCGAUGACUGUGACCUUAGGGAAUCCUCCAGGGGUCAGGGAGGGACACAGGGCCACUCCACAGACUACCCGAGAGCGCCGCGCCACAAGAUGUAACCUGGAGCAAGAAAGAAGAAAAACAGGAAUACCUGUGAGAGGAACCCAAGUAGAUGUAGAUGCAGUGCACAGAAGAGCAAGUCACUUGACUUGCUGGCGGCCACCCAGUUAAUCUGCAGCAGAGCCUGGACUUCAGUCUGCCUCUGUGAAACCCAGCGAAUGGGUGCGUUGGUCACCACCGCACAGCCUCCCCGUCAGACACCCACGUUUUGCCAAAAAUUUAUUCAAAUAAUUACUCCUUUGCUUGUUCCUUUCCCACCGCCCACUUCUGACAUUUUUAUUCAAAAGUAGGAAAUAGAAGAGAAAUAUGUUUGAGUGCUGGUCUGCUGUUACUGCAUUGACCUUUUAAAUCCUCACCGUCUAGUACCUAAGCACAGCGAGUUGGACAAACUCUCACAGUAUUCACAAAGUAAAUUGCCACAAACUCAUCAGCUCAUCCAACACUUGUUCAAGCUUUUGAUUUUACCCUUCUUAAAAUGUACCCUUCUUAAAAUAAACCAUAAACCACUUUAUAGACUUGU